rnacentral:rRNA from 1 species
UGAAUGGCAAAACGAAAGCUCAACUGUCUCCUUAGAUUAAUCAAUGAAAUUGAUCUUUCCGUGCAGAAGCGGAAAUAUUUUUAUAAGACAAAAAGACCCUAUGGAGCUUCAAAUUUAAAUUACUUAUAUUCCCUUAAAAAUAUAAUAAAUAAUUUAACAUAAAAUUUUAGGUUGGGGCGACCGCGGAGUAAACUACAACCUCCAAGAUUAAUUAAGAAAGACAUUUCAAAAUGAUAAAAUAACUAACAUACUUGAUCCAAUAUUUGAUCAACGAACCAAGUUACCCUAGGGAUAACAGCGCAAUCCCCUUAAAGAGUUCAUAUCGACAAGGGGGUUUACGACCUCGAUGUUGGAUCAGGGCCCCCAAAUGGUGCAGCAACUAUUAAAGGUUCGUUUGUUCAACGAUUAAAGCCCUACGUGAUCUGAGUU